AGGGUCCUCUCUCAGUCUCUCCUCUUUCAAUCCCUCCCGUCGGAACCCUAACCACCGUAUAUCUCUGAAUCAAUGGCUGCCGUUUCCAAAGUUUCUCUCAUGGCUCUCAUUGCCAUCAUCUUCGCCGUCGUCUCCGUCGCCGCUCAGGAGGCUCCAGCCCCCAGCCCGGCCUCCCCUGCCACCUCCAUUGCUCCGUCGUUCGUCUCUGCUUGCCUCGCUGCCUUCGUUGCUCUCGCCUUCGGAUCUACUCUCAG
rnacentral:misc_RNA from 1 species